UACGUAGGGCGCAAGCGUUGUCCGGAAUUAUUGGGCGUAAAGAGCUCGUAGGCGGUCUGUUACGUCCGCUGUGAAAACCCAGGGCUUAACCCUGGGCUUGCAGUGGAUACGGGUAGACUAGAGGCAGGUAGGGGAGAAUGGAAUUCCCGGUGUAGCGGUGAAAUGCGCAGAUAUCGGGAGGAACGACCGGUGGCGAAGGCGGUUCUCUGGGCCUGACCUGACGCUGAGGAGCGAAAGCGUGGGGAGCGAACAGG
rnacentral:rRNA from 1 species